rnacentral:lncRNA from 1 species
GAGCUACUCAGCUUGUUCCAUCAAGAGCUAUUCUUAUAUGUUAGAAGGAUAAAGCCACCGAAUAAGCUAAAUUUCUCAGCUUAGAAUUGGUUUACCGAUAAGCGAAAUCGAACAAGCUAUUCAAAACCCUCAACUUCUAUAUGGACAUCAAGGAAAGAGAGAAUAUAACUCUUAUGUCAGAAGAACUGUUAAGUAAGAUGACCCAAUGAAGAAGAGAACUCCUUUUUGAAUCACCAUAACAUUGCCGUAUACUAGAAGAAAAUGUAGCCAGGGUCAACGAUUUCAGGGAAAACGAACAAGACCUAAGCAAACGUAUUCCUUCGAUUCCCGCAUAUCAAUCCAAAAAGGAGAUUGACCUAAAUAUUCUUGUUAAACGAGAACUACUCGUAUACACACAUGGUGACCCCCUGAGCUUAAAAAAUUAUGAAAACA